AUUAAUAAGCGGAGGAAAAGAAACUAACGAGGAUUCCCUUAGUAACGGCGAGUGAAGCGGGACAAGCCCAGCGCCGAAUCCCACGUCGUCCUCGGCGUCGGGAACUGUGGCGUUAAGGCCGGCCAACGGGGAUCGGUUGGGAGUCCGAGUCCUCCUGAUCGGGGCUUCACCCAGAGCGGGUGUCAGGCCUCUACGGCGUCCGAUCGGUCCUCAAUGGUCGUCCUGGGAGUCGGGUUGUUUGAGAAUGCAGCCCAAAGCUGGUGGUAAACUCCAUCUAAGGCUAAAUACAGACACGAGUCCGAUAGCGCACAAGUACCGUGAGGGAAAGUU
rnacentral:rRNA from 1 species